rnacentral:rRNA from 1 species
UACGUAGGGGGCAAGCGUUGUCCGGAUUUACUGGGCGUAAAGGGCGUGUAGGCGGUUUUUUAAGUCAGAUGUGAAAGCUCGGGGUUCAACCCCGGAAUUGCAUUUGAAACUGGAGAACUUGAGUACUGGAGAGGUAAGUGGAAUUCCUAGUGUAGCGGUGAAAUGCGUAGAUAUUAGGAGGAACACCAGUGGCGAAGGCGACUUACUGGACAGAUACUGACGCUGAGGCGCGAAAGCGUGGGGAGCGAACAGG